rnacentral:rRNA from 1 species
AUUGAACGCUGGCGGCAGGCCUAACACAUUCAAGUCGAACGAGUGGCGGACGGGUGAGUAAUGUCUGGGAAACUGCCUGAUGGAGGGGGAUAACUACUGGAAACGGUAGCUAAUACCGCAUACCAACGAAUGUGCUCAGAUGGGAUUAGCUAGUAGGUAGGGUAACGGCUCACCUAGGCGACGGUCCCUAGCUCGUCUUAGAGGAUGACCAGCCACACUGUAACUGAGACACGCGCCAGACUCCUACGGUAGGCAGCAGUGGGGAAUAUUGCACAAUGGGCGCAAGCCUGAUGCAGCCAUGCCGCGUGUAGGAAGAAGGCCUUCGGGUUGUAAAGUACUUUCAGCGGGGAGGCGGUACCCGCAGAAGAAGCACCGGCUAACCCCGUGCCAGCAGCCGCGGUAAUUC